AGAAGCAAAGCAGCCGGGGAGCUGGCGGCCAAAGAAACAGUCAGGGAAACUGGUCCUAUCCCACUAGGGCAGACACCUGCCUAGAGAAGCAGUCCUUGUGCGGAGGCAGAGCUGCCUGGAGAAGCUGUGUGUCUGGAGCCAGGCAAAGGCUGAGGGAGAAAGAUCAGCCUAGCUGGCUUCCGGCUCUCCUACACUGUGUUCUUGGGCAGACAUUGCCUGGCUGGCAAGAUAUGGCUUCACACAGACCAAGCCUGAACUCUGAACCUCUUGGAGCUGAUGAUGAGAGGAAAUCAGAGUUGGCAGCUCUUGGAUCACAUGUUCUACUGAGUCACAAAUGUGAGUCCCAGGAACAAUGUUCCCAACAGGCCACUCGAUUUAACCUAAAGAUGCCCUGAGCCUUUGUACAUUGCAACACCUGGAGAUUUCCCAUUCUUUGGCAAGUUUUUACUGCUGUGAUAGAGGUGAUGGAAAGUACCAGAGAGUGAGAGAUCUCUGCUGUGGGCAAAUAACAACACGUAGAGGGCAAGAGUUAAUGAUGUGGCUGGGCAGGUGUUUGGAGCAAGGAAGGAAGGUCCCAGGACAGACUGGAAAACAGAAGCACAGAAACGGAGAUCCUCCACUGUUGCGGUAAAGCGGCAGGGCUUCCUGAGAAUUCUAUUUGCAUGAGAUACAGAGAACCCUCUUAGAUGGCUGAAGAAAGAGAGCGAGCCUGGCAAGACGGGAAAAACCUGACCCAGUAACCAAACCUUCAUCAGACAUGGUUCUAAGAACAGGAUAGAGAUCUUCUGAAAACUCUACACUGGUCUACAUAUCCCAUGGACUUGCAUCUCUCCAAGGGAAGCCAAAAGGAAGAGACGGGUUGUUCCACUAAAACUGGCACAUAGGGCACAAGAUGCUGCCUGUGGGACCCUUUUAAAAAGUCUAACAUACA